GAUGAACGCUGGCGGCGUGCCUAAUACAUGCAAGUCGAGCAAAUGGAUUAAGAGCUUGCUCUUAUGAAGUUAGCGGCGGACGGGUGAGUAACACGUGGGUAACCUGCCCAUAAGACUGGGAUAACUCCGGGAAACCGGGGCUAAUACCGGAUAACAUUUUGAACCGCAUGGUUCGAAAUUGAAAGGCGGCUUCGGCUGUCACUUAUGGAUGGACCCGCGUCGCAUUAGCUAGUUGGUGAGGUAACGGCUCACCAAGGCAACGAUGCGUAGCCGACCUGAGAGGGUGAUCGGCCACACUGGGACGGAGACACGGCCCAGACUCCUACGGGAGGCAGCAGUAGGGAAUCUUCCGGAAUGGACGAAAGUCUGACGGAGCAACGCCGCGUGAGUGAUGAAGGCUUUCGGGUCGUAAAACUCUGUUGUUAGGGAAGAACAAGUGCUAGUUGAAUAAGCUGGCACCUUGACGGUACCUAACCAGAAAGCCACGGCUAACUACGUGCCAGCCGCCGCCGUAA
rnacentral:rRNA from 1 species